CUCCCGUGAACAAGAUUGAUGAACAUUUUGUUGCAGAUUCAAGAGCCCAGACCCAGCCCUCGUCUGUCUGUAGCACUGCAUCUUCCACACCAGCAGCUGUCCCCGUGCAGCAGAACAAGAGGGGUACCAUGGGCUGGCAGAAGGCUGGGCACCCGCCACCUGAUGGCCAACAGAGAGCAACACAACAGGGCUCUCUCAGGACCUUGCUUGGAGAUGGUGUUGGCAGACAGCAGCCACGGACCAAACAAGUGUGCAACAUGGAGGUGGGUCUUCAAACCCAGGAGAGGCCACCUGCCAUGGCGGCCAAGCACAGCAGCAGUGGACACUGUGUUCAGAACUUUCCUCCGUCCCUGGCUUCAAAACCCAGCCUGGUCCAGCAGAAACCAACCGCAUAUGUGCGGCCGAUGGACGGCCAAGAUCAGGCUCCUGAUGAAUCUCCAAAGCUUAAGUCAUCUACAGAAGCCAGUGUGCACUGCACGUCAUACAGGGGGGUCCCAGCCAGCAAGCCGGAGUCAGCCAGAGCCAAGGCCAAGCUUUCCAAGUUCAGCAUCCCCAAGCAGGGGGAGGUGAGUCUUCUCCCAAUACCACUUAUGUGCAACUCAGUAAUUAUAAGUGACUGCUCGACUGUUGUGAAUUCAGUUUCCAUGUUUCUUUUUUUCAGAGAUGUGGCUGAUUUCUUGUGCUAGAAUUUGUAGCAGUCACUAAAGGGGGAGGCAAACAUGAAUAAUAUUUUUGUAAAAUCUCAAAUUUAUUAUCAUUGCAAUUUUUUAGGUACCAAGUGCAGGGGUGUGUGUGGGUGUGUUGAGGAAGGAAUGCCUCUUCAUUAUAUUUCAAGGGAUUUUUAUGAAUAAGCCAGUGUUGACUGAGAUACUACAUACUAGAAAUAAAAGCACUUCAAAGGCUAUAAUUUUUAAUAUGUAAAGAGAUUAAUUUUCAUGUAAAAGAGUUUGAAAACUCAACAUUUUUGUCAGUUUUGAAAUAGCUCAGGACAAAUUUCACAGAAUAAAACUCAUAAUAAUUUUUGAAGUAAUUGUUUAAAUGAUUCAAUAUUGAAUACGGUGAAUAUUCAUAUGUAUCAGAUAUCCCAUCCAUAUUAUAAUAUUUAGAUCCAGGUUCAUUCAUGUUAAUCAUAAUUCUUACUCGAACUCUCCUUGUCCUAUAGAAGUGAUCUUUGAUUAUAUGAGAAAAGUGAAACAUUUUAGUUCGUAAUCUUCUGGUUGGCAUUCUGAUUUUAUUCUAAAGUAUUCAUUGCAUUACAGCAUGUAUGGCGUGGGUGUAUUGAGUAUUAGAGUUCUAAAAAAGCAAGUCAUAGAGUUAUGGAGAUGGCAAAGAUGCACUGACUAGUCACGUGAAGGCUAAAUCUGGGUGGAAUGAAGUUUUGUUUUAGAGAAGUGCAUCUCAUAUUAUAUAACAAAUUGAUGAUAGUCAUCAAGAACACAUGAAGAAGAAAUACGAUUGUGUACCUUUGUUGUUUUGUUGUGUUAUGGUAUACUAACUAAAAUAAAGUGUGAGUUCCAGAAAAAAAAAAAA